CAAUCACUUCCAGGUUUGCGGCAUUCAGCAGCCAAAACCUCUGAGUUCCAGGGCGUUCAACAAUCAAGGUACGACUGUAUAAAAGGUAAAGGUAAAGGGACCCCUCACCAUUAGGUCCAGUCGUGGACAACUCUGGGGUUGCGGCUCUCAUCUCACUUCCGGUCAUGUGGCCAGCAUGACUAAGCCACUUCUGGCAAACCAGAGCGGCGCACGGAAACACCGUUUACCUUCCCGCUGGAGUAGUACCUAUCUAUCUACUUGUACUUUGACGUGCUUUUGAACUGCUAGGUUGGCAGGAGCAGGGACUGAGCAACGGGAGCUCACCCUGUCGUGGGGAUUCGAACCACCGACCUUCUGACCGGCAAGCCCUAGGCUCUGUGGUUUAACCCACAGUGCCACCUGUGACUGUAUAUGAGACUCUUAAUCUCAUGGGGUUGGACUAGACGACCUUGGGACCCCUUCCAAAUUUACAAUUCUACGUUUCUAUGAUCGCACAUCCACCAUAAAUGGGGGUGGGGACCCUCAUUCAUCUUCAGUUAUCUUCUUCCAACAAUUGCCCUCCUCCACACCCCCAGCUGUUUUAGCUUUCCAGAUAGUCUAGAACCAUUGUAUGGCCAUCUAAUAAGAAUUAUCCCUAUAGUUUAGAACUAUGGAAAGGUUGUGCGUAUGCUAAAGAGAAGGAAGGGAUGUUUGCUGGGGAGAAUGUGUGUCUCCCCAUCCCUAAUGUACAACAAUGCAUUGAGCAAGACUUGCCGUUCUUUUGACUGCCAUACAUGGUGUCUCCGUGCUUAGUGGUCAGGAAUUAUUUUGGUUCCCCACUGAAAAACCCCACCCCACCCACAUCUGGGCUUGGGGCUCCAUAGGGUAAAGGGUGUGGGCUUUGGGGAAUGGAGGUAGCUUGAGAUUCCCCUUGUAGAAAGAAAGCAGCUUCUUCUGGAAGCCCUUUGCCGAGUAGGUCACAGCAAGCCUUUUUCCUGGCCGUUUUGUAUGAAAUAAAUAAAAUCCUGAACGUCAUUUGUACUCAGAAAUCAAAAGGUCUGAGUACCAGGCUCACCAUGAGCGCUAGCAGGAGGGGCGGGGGAACCCUGAAAAAUCCAGAGAGAGAAAAACUGUGUGUGACAUCUAGUCGCGUGUGUUUUGAAUUACUGUGCAUUAAUCAAAUGUUUUGUGAACCAUUUUAAGUAAGUGGAAGAGACUAGUGGAAUGAAACAAUAUAAUCCAGUACAGUGAAAACAUGCAUGCCCUAAGGCAGAAAAACUUGUAGUUUUCUUUGCUAUAACAUAGUCAAAAGAGGAGGGGGGUUGUUGAUUUUUACGCGCGCAUUCAUGUGAUUGACUAAGUGGCAUUUGAGAAGGCAACGAGUCAGGCACAAAAACGUUAGGAUAACGGACAGCUUCUUUCAAUAUUGGAAAAGAUAUCAUCAGUAUGGCAUAAAUGAAAAUUGCUCUAUGACUAUGGACACGGGAAGAUACCAAAUGAUAGCGAUUCUAAUGAUGUGAGAUACAUUUCUUGCUUGAUUUUUGUAUGCGUCCCACCAUAGGUUGUUGGACUCUAUUAUGCUGACUGGGGCAGAUGUGAGCUGGAGUUCAACAACAUCUGGAGGGCCACAGGUUCCUUGUCCCUGGUAAACAGAAAUGAAAUCUGAGAGAUAUAUAAAUUAUGUUUGUUUUGUUUUGUUUUGUUUUGGGUGUAUUUUCAUGUACUUCUUUCAAGCAAAGUCAUUUCUUGAGGCUAAUGGUUAGCCAAUGUUUCUAACAGCUUUUGAGAUCUGCAAGAGUAGCUACAGAAAACCCCUUGCCAUUUUUGAGGUGAAGGCGGAUGGAGAAACAUUUGUAAACAUAGAAAAGUGUACCUGCAACAAUCCUGUGAUUUGUCAACAUCAUGACAAUCCCAAUAAAUUGGAUUUUACUGCAGCAUAAUAGAAAUGGCUAAGGAAUUUAAUGUUUUCCCAUUUUGAUAAAAACAGGCCUGAUCCACACCUCCUGGACAAAAGUGCAGACCAGAACUUACUUAUCCACAAGUUUUCAUGCUUCACAAAAAAGGUGCAAUUUUCAGCUCAAAGAUAUCAGCAUAGAGCUCAAAAUGUAGAAAGAAAAUACAAUUUAAAAUGCCUAUUAAUAUCUGUAUUUAAACAUUCCUUUUCUUCUUUUUUUUAAACACAAAAAUAUGUAGAUUGAUGUUGAAAUGGGACAGAAUGCAUUUAUGGAUGAACACAUCCAUUUUGUCCCAUUUCUGCAUUUGAUGUGAAGGGUUUUUGUGUUUUUAAAAAAGAUUCCUUAUGGGGUGGUCUGAGCAUGGGUUGCCUUUUUUAUUAUUUUUCUUUCCUUAAGCAAACAAUCAAAAUACCAAAAUCAUACAAUUUAUAACACAUGUACAAAACAUAUUGUACUAUGGACAGAAGCAAACUAAGAUAUGAUUAAGUAGACAAAAUCCUAUUUUGGAUACUUGCAGCAGCAGAAAGGGGAAAUCUAGCAAAGGUUUCUGUUCUUAUUUUGUUUGUUCCAGCCAAUAAGCGAACCAAACACCAUUCAAAAGUCCUUCCUUGAUAUUUUACUAGGAGUAAGCAAUCUAGGCUUGCCAUACGUUAGGAAAAUUCUUGACAUGCCCUGGUGUAAAAAUGGUGUCAGGGUGGAAAUUUACCAGAUUGGCGAAAUGUCAGGGAAAACACCACACGAUGGGGGAAAAAACAGCUCCAAAAGCUUAACAUCACUAUUUUGUGGGGAGGUUUCUCCAAAAAAAAUCUCAACAUUUUGUGGUCUUCCUAAAGAAAAGCACAUUUGCGGGUGUCAUGAAUUUCACUUUUUUGAAAUAUGGCAACCCUAAUCUGUUUCACUCCCCACUAUAAAAGUUGCAUAGAAAAAGAACAUGUAUUAAUCUUUCUUUUGCUUCAUCUCUGCAGGGUUAUCACUUCUGGGGCACCUAGAAAGUAGACAGUGGCACCUGCGUCUGGUAAAAAUGCUUCCUGGAAAUGAUGCCCAGACUACACACUUCAGCAGUGACUGCAGGGGUGUCCCUCUGCUCACAUCCACAUGUGGGUGUUGCUAACACGUGGGCACCAGAAAAGAGGUGCUGGAGAAAAGAGCGGUGUGUGUCACAUGGCCUGUUCUACACCUCCUAAGCUAUCCUACUGCCCCCAGGCGCAGUGAAGGAUGCUGUGCCGUCAGCAGCAUUGCUGAAGUGAAAGUCAACUGCUUGUCCAAUCACCUUCUGUAUGUGGGAUGGGAUGGCGGUGCGUGGGUGGGGUGCCAUCUUGACCUUUGCACCAGGAAGCCAAAUGUCUUGAGCCACCUCUUCUUACCCCUGAAGGUCAGAGCACAGAAACUCUAAAGGACGAACCUUCUGACACAGACAGUGAACAAAUGCUGUGAGGAUGCAUCAGGUCCUUUCCAGCUUCCUGAUGGAGCCUUAAAGCAAUAAGGAGAAGCUUGUGGCUGUGUUAAUGUAUUUGCUCUCCAUGAAAAUAUGUAGCACUUUCCCUCUUUCCCUUGAGCCAUCUCACACUUCGGGCUCAUCUGUCUUAAAGGCAGCAUUAUCUGUGAUCUACCACAGCCCCAUCUCUCUCAGCUGUGUAUAUUUUUAGGACUACAUGGAAGUAAGCCAUUUCUACGUGCAGGCUUUGUGUGUGUUGAUUAUUAUCCUGCUAAGUUAGCCUGGCGUAUUCCCCCCUGCCCCCGUCAAACAGGAACACACUGUUCAUGCACACACUCUCCUUCCUUGCUUGUGUUUGUCUUGUAAAGUCCAAUUUUCUCUAACUGCAUCUUGCCACGCACUGUAAACCACAUUUGUGUCCCAUUUAAACUUUGAAACCACAAUAGAUGCAGAGGAACAAGAGGAACCACACACCCUGCCUUUCUUGACAACACUCCCACACAUGAAUAAUUAGAAGCACAUUAAAAUACUACACACACAUCGAAAGAACGAGACAGCUGCUCUGCCUCGUGCUCCCUGUCUCAACCUCUUCCACUUUCAAUUCUACCCAAAAUCGCCUGGAACAGUAAACAGGGUAAGGGAAACUUAAUACAAACAAUCUGUGACACAACAGGAAUAAAUAUCCUAAUAAAGAUUUCCUGACAAGUGUACGCAGUCAGGAGGGUUUGGGAAGGCUUUGUUUUAAUUAGCCAAUGUACACCGCGC
rnacentral:lncRNA from 1 species